ACGGGAGGCAGCAGUGGGGAAUAUUGCACAAUGGGGGAAACCCUGAUGCAGCAACGCCGCGUGAGUGAAGAAGUAUUUCGGUAUGUAAAGCUCUAUCAGCAGGGAAGAUAAUGACGGUACCUGACUAAGAAGCUCCGGCUAAAUACGUGCCAGCAGCCGCGGUAAUACGUAUGGAGCAAGCGUUAUCCGGAUUUACUGGGUGUAAGGGGUGCGUAGGUGGCAGGGCAAGUCAGAUGUGAAAGACCGGGGCUCAACUCCGGGGCUGCAUUUGAAACUGUCUUGCUGGAGUGCAGGAGGGGCAAGCGGAAUUCCUAGUGUAGCGGUGAAAUGCGUAGAUAUUAGGAGGAACACCGGUGGCGAAGGCGGCUUGCUGGACUGAUACUGACACUGAGGCACGAAAGCGUGGGGAGCAAACAGGAUUAGAUACCCUGGUA
rnacentral:rRNA from 1 species